AAAACUGUUAUUAAAGCCUUGCGGGGUUUCAGUUGGCAUUUUGGGUAAUGAAUGUCUAUCGAAACAUCGCGACGAUUGUCACGGGCUGGAGGAGAGUAUCGGGUUGUGACAUUGUGGCCGGAGAUAAGAACCAGCCAUGAGAUAAGGAUGAAAAGUCAAAGCUUCCUUUGGAAGCUUUGACCAAUUUAAUGCCAAAAUUACCAUUUUGCCCUUCAAGGUUUUCACCCUUUUUAAUUGUAUCAUUUCACAAUCUUUUCAUUCCAAUUUCUUUUCAUUUUUUUUCCUUAACACUUGUAUCAGUAAAAUAUCAAAUUCAUGCUUCAAUGCGGUAUCACCGAAAUAUUUAAAUAUUUACUUACCCGAACUAGCUUUAUUUAAUAA
rnacentral:lncRNA from 1 species